rnacentral:lncRNA from 1 species
UGGCAACAUUUGAAAGCACAGUUACUCCGUCGGCCAUAGAAGCUGCCAUCAUAAGAGUUUCAGUUGCCCCAACACUAGGGAAAUCAAGGUGGAAACUGCCCCCAACCAAUCCCUUGCCAUUUGCAGAAUGUGCCAGCACUCUUCCAUCUCUGUAAUUUUGAAGAAUUUACUAAUUUCAGCCAAUUCUUUACAUAUUCAGUCAGGUGGUAACUCCAGACAGUCACACACACACACACACACACACAUCAACAGUUAAAGUUCUUGCCAUACCCUACUUUUUCUUGCCUGAUUGCAGAGUCUUGACUUAGAAUUGGCAGAAAAGCAGAAAAGAACACCUUAAAUGCUUUGCCAAAGAUCUAGUCAACUUGAGCUGUGAUCUAAUUGGUGACCGAUCUUCACAAAGUAGAAUUAUGUCAAUAAGUUGCCCAGCUCAUUAACUAUAACAAUAUCUAUGUUUUUUGUCACCAACGAAAGAGGAUGAUCCCUAAAAAAACCUCUGAAGCCCAGUGUCAUCACUAGUGAUUAUGCAAAAGUUUGCAAUCCCCGCCAUCUUUUCUGUGUUCGAGUGAGAUAUAGUAGGCUUACAUAAUCUGUUCCCACAAAUCAGAAACUGCCAAGGAAAUAUCUUAAAAGCUACCCAUCCACACCAGAAAACCCAGUUCUGUUCUAGCCAUUCAAGGUGAAAAAAAAAAAAAAAUUUAACGACAGUGAUGCUAGAUCUCUUAAGGUCAAGCUAGAAUCCUUCUAUAUGGUGAAAAGUUCACAUAAUCAUCAACCUCAUGACACAGACCAUUUUCUUAUUUAUCUACCAAGUAUUGAUCUUCACUCCCAAAUUUUACACUUUUAUUACCCCCAGACAGUUUCUUACAUUUCCCAUUUGAAUCCUAUUACCUAAUAGUUCCUAUAUUCAUAAGUAUUCGAUAUCAUACUGACAUCUUUCUUCAAACUGACCAGCUCUCUGCAUACUAGUAUUACGAAAAAAAUCCGAUCCUCAAAACAAUACUGUACCGGCUUAAAGUAACGUAAUAGAAUCAAUCUUAUUGAAUAUACAAUAUAUCUUUAAACUAGCUUCUUUACCUAAAAUGUGAUGAACAAUUACAUUCCAAGAAAAAUCAAUAAAAACAAUCAAGACAAUUUUCAAUGAAAACAUAACGCAAUUAAAAUUUAAAAAAAAACAUAACUUAUCUCAACAGCAGCCCCAAGAGCUCUUAGCCCACGAACGUACAAAUCCACAGGUCUCUCCCCAAUAUCACACCCACCAGGUAAACCCACAACAGCUUCACCGAACCGGGCCAGCAGCGGCCCGAUAACAAAGAACCCACCUCGAAUUUUCCUCAUUUCCUCCAAACAUGGCUCAACACGCCCAACACCAUCAGUGUUAACCAAAAUUUCCUUAUUCCUCUCGUUAAACUCAAUCUUGGCGCCUAACGAGCGUAAAAUUGAAAGCAUUGCUUUGGUGUCAGACAGGCCUGUGGGCACAUUGUGGAGUAGACAAGAGUUUGAGCAUAAAAGAGUAGCGGCGAGGAGACAGAGAGAAGAGUUCUUGGACCCGGAAAUGGGAACGUGGCCCGAAAGCUGUGUGGGUCCGGUGAUGGUAAGAGUUUCGGCUUCCCGGAUCUGGGUUGUUUGGGUUGGGAUUUGGGGGUUUUGGGUUUGUGGGAGUCGAAGAGAGAAUGGUUUAAGGGGCUUUGCAUAACACAAAGAGGUCGCCAUUUUCUUGUCGACCAGAGAGAAAAGCAACGGUGUUUAACAAACACUUGACCAAAUUCCCGCUUUAAUUGUCGAUGUUGAGU